UACGUAGGGGGCAAGCGUUGUCCGGAAUCAUUGGGCGUAAAGAGCGUGUAGGCGGUCCGGUAAGUCGGCUGUGAAAGUCCAGGGCUCAACCCUGGGAUGCCGGUCGAUACUGCCGGACUAGAGUUCGGAAGAGGCGAGUGGAAUUCCCGGUGUAGCGGUGAAAUGCGCAGAUAUCGGGAGGAACACCUAUGGCGAAGGCAGCUCGCUGGGACAUUCCUGACGCUGAGACGCGAAAGCUAGGGGAGCGAACAGG
rnacentral:rRNA from 1 species